rnacentral:rRNA from 1 species
CUGAGAAACGGCUACCACAUCUAAGGAAGGCAGCUGGCGCGCAAAUUACCCAAUCCUAAUACUGGGAGGUAGUGACAAGAAAUAACAAUACAGGACUUUUUGGUUUUGUAAUUGGAAUGAGUUAAGUAUAAACCCCUUUACAAGUAUCAAUUGGAGGGCAAGUCUGGUGCCAGCAGCCGCGGUAAUUCCAGCUCCAAUAGCGUAUAUUAAAGUUGUUGCAGUUAAAAAGCUCGUAGUUGGAU